CAAGCAGAAAGUCUAUCACGAACACUCAAACCACUACGAAUAUUGUUGCUAAUAUUAGAACACACAACGUCCAAGAAGUCAUUAGUUCUAUUAAAGUCCUGUUGAGUAUCGAGAUGCAGCAACAUUGGCGGCACUUGAGGGUGUGACUGGGACAAGUUGGCGGCUGUUAACUCCUGUUGUGGUGAUUCGCAUUGGGCAGGCACGCCAGUAAUGACCAUAUCGCCCGCAUGAGUGACAAGGUCCAAA
rnacentral:lncRNA from 1 species